GUGGGGAAUAUUGGGCAAUGGGGGAAACCCUGACCCAGCAACGCCGCGUGAAUGAAGAAGGCCUUCGGGUUGUAAACUGCUUUUGUACGGAACGAAACGGUCCUGGCUAAUAUCCGGGGCUAAUGACGGUACCGUAAGAAUAAGCACCGGCUAACUACGUGCCAGCAGCCGCGGCAAUACGUAGGGUGCGAGCGUUAAUCGGAAUUACUGGGCGUAAAGCGUGCGGAGGCGGUGCUGUAAGACAGGCGUGAAAUCCCCGGGCUCAACCUGGGAAUGGCGCUUGUGACUGCAAGGCUGGAGUGCGGCAGAUGGGGAUGUAAUUCCGCGUGUAGCAGUGAAAUGCGUAGAUAUGCGGAGGAACACCGAUGGCGAAGGCAAUCCCCUGGGCCUGCACUGACGCUCAUGCACGAAAGCGUGGGGAGCAAACAGGAUUAGAUACCCGAGUAGUCC
rnacentral:rRNA from 1 species